GUAGGUGGGAAACGUGACGGGGCCCGUUGUACGGCAGCAAGCGAGGGAAGCGAAGUGAAAAACUUCCGCCGCCCCGCGACUGUAAGGGGGACGAACGCCCAGCAGAUGGCCACUGAUGCUUCGCACGAAGCGCCGGGAAGGUCGGGCAAGUAGGUCGAACCCGAGCCAGGAUAUCUUGCUCGUUGCCGAGGUUUCUUU
rnacentral:ncRNA from 1 species